CCAAAGGUAGGCUUGUGGAAGAAGAGAGAAGAAUCAUACUGACUCUGUACAAAACUAAAGGUAAUGAGUGUGCUAUGAAACUUCUCAAACCAAGUCCGGGGAGCCUGCUUGAAUCCAUACAAAGAACGUCGUAGUCUACUAACAUCAUGAGGAGAUGAAGUAGUCAUACUAGAAGGGAGCUUCAUAUAAAUCUCUUCGUGAAGAUCGUCGUGAAGAAAUGCAUUCUUCACAUCCAACUGAUGUAGGUUCCAUGACUGCAAGGCAGCAAUAGCUAGGAUCGUCCUGACUGUGGUCAUUUUGGCGACAGGAGCAAAUGUCUCAUCAUAGUCAACUCCAUAUUCCUGUCUGUUACCCAGAGCUACAAGAUGAGCUUUGUACUGAUCCAAGGAGCCGUCAAAACGAAGUUUCACAGAGAAAACUCAUUUGCUUCCAAUAGGUUUCACAGUAGGAGGACAAGGCACAAUGUCCUAAGUGUGAUUCUCCUCAAGGGCCUGAAGUUCUGCUUGCAUUGCCUUUUGCCAACACUCAUGUUCCAUGGCCUGUUUGUAACAAGUGGGAAUGGAAAUAGCAGAUAAAAUAGCUACAAGAGAAAUAGGAGAUGAGAAAUCGUACCGAUCGGGUGGGCAAGAAUGACGAGUAGACCGACGAAGACAGAUGGGAAUCGUAGGAGGAUCAGGUGUCGGUUCGAGAUCAGGAGGGGGCACAUCAACUGGAGGAUCAGACCCACGAUUACGUCGUUCAUACACAAGUCCUGGCUUAAAUCGUGCUAUAACAUCUGGAGAAUCAGAGAAGCUAGGCAGGAUAGAUGAAGAUGUAGAGGGUAGCUCAGAAUGAGAC
rnacentral:lncRNA from 1 species